CCGACUACAUGAAGCUGGAAUCGCUAGUAAUCGCGAAUCAGAAUGUCGCGGUGAAUACGUUCCCGGGUCUUGUACACACCGCCCGUCACACCAUGGGAGUCGGAAAUGCCCGAAGCCGGUGACUCAACCGCAAGGAGAGAGCCGUCGAAGGCAGGUCUGAUAACUGGGGUGAAGUCGUAACAAGGUAUC
rnacentral:rRNA from 1 species